UACAGAGGUGGCAAGCGUUGUUCGGAAUUACUGGGCGUAAAGGGCGCGUAGGCGGUCUUGCAAGUCCUGUGUGAAAUCCCUCGGCUCAACUGGGGAACUGCACAGGAAACUGCUUGGCUUGAGUUCGGGAGAGGGAAGCGGAAUUCCGGGUGUAGCGGUGAAAUGCGUAGAUAUCCGGAGGAACACCGGUGGCGAAGGCGGCUUCCUGGACCGACACUGACGCUGAGGCGCGAAAGCUAGGGGAGCAAACGGG
rnacentral:rRNA from 1 species